GAAGAACUUCAGCAACAACUUGAGGAGGCUCAGAACAAACUAGCGGACAGUGACAAGAGAAAAGG